CUUGGCGACCAUAGCGCUUUGGACCCACCUGAUUCCAUGCCGAACUCAGUAGUGAAACGAAGCAGCGCCGAUGGUAGUG
rnacentral:rRNA from 1 species